CAACCUCUCGGGUUAAAACGGGUAAUAAUUGGAACCAUAUGGAGAAUAUUAGCAUGGUCCCUACCGAAGGAUGACACACACCAAUCUAGAAAUGAUCCAAAUUUUU